CUUGUGCCUAGAGGUAUUGCAGGUGUGGCUGCUGUGUCACAUGUGUGUCAGUAGGUGGCAGAGAGAAGAGAGGCUCUGUCUAUUCUCAGUGUUCUCACCCAUGAACAUCCGAAUGAUUAGUAGUUUAACAGU